UCUAAUAUGGCAGAUAAGUGCACUGGAUUUAAGCUCCAUUUAUAAAGGAUUAACCUUUUGUUAGAA
rnacentral:tRNA from 6 species